AACCUAUGGUGAGGGCACCUUCUCAAAAGGUCAUUGUAUCUCUCCUAUGCAUUAUAGAGUGUUGCUAAAUCCAUCUGCACAAAAGAAGAGAUAUCAUUACGUAGUUU
rfam:Gossypium hirsutum cultivar TM-1 chromosome 12, whole genome shotgun sequence